rnacentral:rRNA from 1 species
UGGGGAAUAUUGGACAAUGGGGGAAACCCUGAUCCAGCGACGCCGCGUGAGUGAAGAAGUAUUUCGGUAUGUAAAGCUCUAUCAGCAGGGAAGAAAAUGACGGUACCUGACUAAGAAGCCCCGGCUAACUACGUGCCAGCAGCCGCGGUAAUACGUAGGGGGGCAAGCGUUAUCCGGAUUUACUGGGUGUAAAGGGAGCGCAGACGGCAAUGCAAGUCUGAAGUGAAAGGCGUGGGCUCAACCCAUGAACUGCUUUGGAAACUGUAUAGCUUGAGUGUCGGAGGGGUAAGCGGAAUUCCUAGUGUAGCGGUGAAAUGCGUAGAUAUUAGGAGGAACACCGGAGGCGAAGGCGGCUUACUGGACGACAACUGACGUUGAGGCUCGAAGGCGUGGGGAGCAAACAGGAUUAGAUACCCUGGUAGUCCACGCAGUAAACGAUGAAUACUUGGUGUCGGGGAGGUAAACUCUUCGGUGCCGCAAGCUAACGCAUUAAGUAUUCCACCUGGGGAGUACGUUCGCAAGAAUG